GACGAACGCUGGCGGCGUGCUUAACACAUGCAAGUCGAGCGGUAAGGCUCUUUCGGGGGUACACGAGCGGCGAACGGGUGAGUAACACGUGGGUGACCUGCCCUCAGCUCUGGGAUAAGCCUGGGAAACCGGGUCUAAUACUGGAUAUGACUCCAUGACGCAUGUUGUGGGGUGGAAAGCCUUGUGCGGCUGAGGAUGGGCCCGCGGCCUAUCAGCUUGUUGGGGGGUGAUGGCCUACCAAGGCGACGACGGGUAGCCGGCCUGAGAGGGCGACCGGCCACACUGGGACUGAGACACGGCCCAGACUCCUACGGGAGGCAGCAGUGGGGAAUCUUGCGCAAUGGGCGAAAGCCUGACGCAGCGACGCCGCGUGA
rnacentral:rRNA from 1 species